CGUACACUCCUACGGGAGGCAGCAGUGGGGAAUAUUGCACAAUGGGCGCAAGCCUGAUGCAGCCAUGCCGCGUGUGUGAAGAAGGCCUUCGGGUUGUAAAGCACUUUCAGCGGGGAGGAAGGCGAUACGGUUAACAACCGUGUUGAUUGACGUUACCCGCAGAAGAAGCACCGGCUAACUCCGUGCCAGCAGCCGCGGUAAUACGGAGGGUGCAAGCGUUAAUCGGAAUUACUGGGCGUAAAGCGCACGCAGGCGGUCUGUCAAGUCGGAUGUGAAAUCCCCGGGCUCAACCUGGGAACUGCAUUCGAAGCUGGCAGGCUUGAGUCUUGUAGAGGGGGGUAGAAUUCCAGGUGUAGCGGUGAAAUGCGUAGAGAUCUGGAGGAAUACCGGUGGCGAAGGCGGCCCCCUGGACAAAGACUGACGCUCAGGUGAGAAAGCGUGGGGAGCAAACAGGAAUAGAAACCCCAAUAGUCCCA
rnacentral:rRNA from 1 species